CUUCGUCUAUGUGUAUUUCAGAUGGAAUAAGGAAAGAAUAUACGUCCAGUCAAUGCACAAAUGUAUAAAACAAACGAAAUACGGCAUGCCAUAAUAUCUAUAUCUAUAUAAUUAUUUGGAGUAAACAGUGUCAACAGUCAAGUGUUACUAGAAUAUAGAAUUGAUAGUCUAGCAUAUAUCAUUUUUGUCACUAAAUUCAUUUAGUUACCACCAAACGAG
rnacentral:misc_RNA from 1 species